rfam:Staphylococcus saprophyticus subsp. saprophyticus ATCC 15305 DNA, complete genome.
UCUUCGUAUAGUUGUUAUAGUUACACAAUUAGUACUCGUUUUUUCAAUUAAUUGAUUACAAACAAGAGGAGGCUGAUGUAGUGACAAACCAUUUCUCAGCAGUAAUUAGUGAUUUCGUAAAAUAAUACUUUCAGGUACACAACGCGCUUAAGCAAAUUAAGCAAUCCCUAAUUUGAAUUUGUAGAACAUUCCCAGUCUCAAUUCAAAUAUCAUUUUAACAUUGUCUAUAACAGAGACAAUUAAAGUUUUAACAUGUAAGCUAUCGUAAACAUCAUUCAAUUUAUCAUUUUAAAUCGGUAAAUUCACUAAAUUUUUUCAUAAUUAAUAACAUCCCCAAAAAUAGAUAGAGAAAUAACUGUAAAAACAUUCCCUUAAUAAUAAGUUACAAAAACCGUGAGUCCCUCCCAAGCUCACGGUUUU